CCCACUCAUUAACACCACCAUUCCGUGUUUAUGACAUCAUAAAGGGUUCCAUGACGGUUGCUUCCGAGGUCUCGGACACAGGAUUCCAUAUCAAGCACCUGAAUAGGGGUGGGGGAGCUGGUUAUGAAUGAGAACACAUCUGUUCCAGGCAAAAGCUUUCUGGAGUCAGCUACAUGAGGACAAAGGGAGAGAGUAAGAGAGAAAAAAGAGAGAGCGAGGAAACAAAGCUUUCCAGGAUUCUGGAGACAAUACAGGUGUAGGUUGGUGGAUCAGGGCAGCUGCGUGCACUUCCCAGUAUGAUCUCAUCUAUUGAUAAAGAAAUUCAGGUCUCAUUGACCCCCGGAGACUCUAUGGAUGACUGGAGAACUAGCAUGUUGAUGACAUCACAGAUCCCAAUGAAGUGAAACCACAUUCGCUGAGAGGGGAAAUUGGUUUUAUUCAGCCUCUUUAACCCUGGCUCCGGUUUGGUUUUUGUAUCGCCCGUUUAACUCAAACACCCAGCAAAAAGAUAGAAGAGAUGACAGUUUUGUUAAAGAUUCAUAUUCCCCUGACCCUUCCAUUAAAGACUGAGAAAAUGGCCAACGCACAUGUGAGACCUCGCCCCUCAGAAGGGUAAAGGCACAGUGCAGAGGAAUAGCAUCACCACUUCAAGCUGUAUACACAGCAAAGGGCUGACAAUUGUUCCCUCGUGGUGGUGGAAACGCUGCUCCCCCAGGAGCUGUGAAGUGUCUCCCAGGUGCCCUGUUUGCAUCCUCUGUCCCCAGCAUAGAGGUGUUGACCCGCAGGCUGCCAGGAGCUGGGGUGGGUUGAUGGCUCUGAUGCUGAUGUAACUUCCCAGCUAGUGGACUUACUGUCCCUGGGGCUCAAAACUCACUGCCCCAAACUGAAUUGAGCCCUAAGCCUUUAUACAAUCUACCACUCAGUUGCUGAUAAAUAAAAAAGACUCUGGGCUUUCUGUUGUCAUUUACAACGGUGCAAAGUGAGUGUAUAACGCCACCAAAUCUUGGAUGAGAUUUUCAAAGCCCCCAAAGGACACCUAUUUCCCAUUCAUGCAGUUGAAUGGGAACCGGCUGUUCAAAUCUCUUCGGUGCCUUUGAGGAUGUUAGCCCUACUCUCUCUCAGAAGGCAAAUGAAAAGAACCCAUUAUUAUUAUUUUUGUACUCCCCUCAUUUUAAAGACAAUCUUGAGAUUUUGACCCCUUGAGGAUGGAAAUGCUGCAGUACAGCACUCGUGAAAGGGUUUCCUGCCACGUGACCACCCACCAACUGAGAACUGGGAGCGUUCAUGUGAUCUGUCAAUGUUCAGUGCUAUCAGAUGAUUAUUUUUUUUGGACUCCCCAAUUUCAGAUAAGUUGUGUUUCCUUAUUAGGCUGUCAGUGCAUCGUUUGAACCUGGAACCUUGGUUACUUUCAGUGCCAGGGUGGCGUUAGUUCAGUGGCAGAGGGGCAGAGUUAGUGUAGUUCGGGGCGGGGGGUGUUAGAACCUGGGUUUGUUUCAGUGGCAGGGGGGCAGUGUUACCCCCAGGUUGAUAAAGAUUUUUCAUGGAAUUUGGGAGUGCAAAAGACCAUUGUACCGCCAACGUAGUUCAGAAGCGUUUUGUUAGCUCAGAGGCAGAAUUUCCAGACAAAAUGUUUGUUGUUUAUGUUAGAGAUGGACAAAGCUCUGUGGGAGGAGUGGGCUUGGGUCUGGUUUCUGUAUUUAGAUGAAACCAUAGCCCCCCCUCUCAUGCCACAACCUUAGGAAAGUGGGAGCAUUCAGGGAGAUGGUUCAGGUGUUGCUCCAGCUGGUUUAUUUAUAUAUGGCUCUAUCCCCAUCUGUGCUGAAUUACCAAUCCUUUGAGUUGAUUUAUGUGUGUCCUUAUUGCCUCAUUCUCAAUCAGCCUCAUUCUUGCUUUCCUUUAUUUUUCCAAUCCUUCCUUCUGGGCUGCUGUGUUAAUCACCUGAGAUGAGAGAAGCUGUCUGUUGUCAUGACGACUCCAUCUCUGCUCUGGGCUUCCCGUCACAUCUAACUUACCUUUGGGUAAAUGCCUGUGACUGGAGGAGAUGAAGGAGGAAUUGAAAGCCGUGGCGUCCUCUUCCCAAGCAGGCUGUUGCUCUUGCAGUGAUUUUAGUGUGGUAUCAGCCCAGUGGUCGCUGCAGGGCACUAUGGGGGAAGUGCUGCACCCGCAGAGGUGAGGUCCUUCCAAUCGGAUGUUGGACUGAGAUUGCUGCAGUCUGUAUCUGGGAGAUGUAUCAGGGGCAAGUUACAGCUCUGACUGCACCAUUCACAGAGGGCAGGGGCUACCCCCGGCUCCCUGCCAGCGGGCCAGCUCUCACGAGGUCAGGUUCGAAUGUCCAAACCUGUGCAUUAUUACUGAGCACAUAAAAACUUCUUGCAAUGCGCUGCAUUGGCAGGUUGCAUCGCCAUUGUUCGCCGGACUGCAUGGCGUUGACUGGCCGCAUUGCAACGCCUUUUGGGCUGAGUGAAGUAGCAAAGAUGCCAUAAAAAAAAAAAUCUGUACUAUUGUAAAAACUGAAGCGACUCUGAAAGCAUCAGUAACCUAAGCUCGGGCAGCUGAAGGCCAAGGUGUGUGACAGCCUGUCAUUUCUCCAGUGCUCUAAUGCAAAGGAGCCCAGGUCCUCAGAAAAUAGUCACCUGCAACAUUAAUCCGGACAGUGCAAACUGUGGCAUAGUGCAAUGGCUCAUGCUGCCACCUGCUGGCAGACUCUGGAAUAAGUCUUUUCCCCCCAGGGCAUUCUUUCAGCAUAUUGCUUCCAUGUGCAGUUUCUCUGGCCACUGUUACAGUUGUUCCUGAAUGUCAUGCAAACAAAGCAGAGGUGGUGCUAUUUCUGUUGCCCAGUGUUUCUGCUUGGUGAAUCCAGCUUGUAUGGCAGGAAGCAGGGAGGGCUGACAAACAGAGCUGGCAUUUUUGGUUGGACUACUCUCCUGCCUAAGGAUAUGGCUUGGGCCACUGGAGGUGGUUACAUCUGCUUUUCGCUGCUUCCAGUAUAGAGCCCUGUAUCCUCCCCUCUCUGGACUGCAUUUGACAGUGAGAACAGUCAGAACUGACCAUUUGCAAUGCAGACUGCAGGUACAAAGGGACAAGCAUCCAAUGAGGACAGAAAGUAACACAUUGUCCUUCUGUAUCCCUUCCAUCUAAGGGUCCAAGAGCACUUUAAUAAUUAGUUAGAACCCUCCAGCUCCCAGGGAAGGAGAUACAGAUGGGAAACUGAGGCACAGGGAAAGGAGGUCACCUGCCCACAGUCUUGUAGAGUCUCUUUAGCAGAGAUGUUAUUAAGACCCAGGAGUGCUGUCUCCGCAUCCCGUCAGGAUGUUUUUUUUCAAUGUUUGCAUGGGGGUGCCCCCUUCUCUGC